rnacentral:rRNA from 1 species
UACGGGGGGGGCAAGCGUUGUUCGGAAUUACUGGGCGUAAAGGGUUUGUUGGUGGCUUUCUAAGUCAGACGUGAAAUCCCUCAGCUUAACUGGGGAACUGCGUCUGAGACUGGCAAGCUCGAGUGCAGGAGAGGAACGCGGAAUUCCAGGUGUAGCGGUGAAAUGCGUAGAUAUCUGGAGGAACACCGGUGGCGAAGGCGGCGUUCUGGACUGCAACUGACACUGAAAAACGAAAGCCAGGGGAGCAAACGGG